rnacentral:lncRNA from 1 species
CAAAAUGGAGAACACCAUCGUGUUCAUGAUAGUUAUGGGGUCAUAUUAGUUUGCAGCUGUAGAUGGGUGGGUGUUCCACCAGGAGUCCUUUGAUGUUGGCGCCCCCCCUUAGGUUGUGCUGUGGCGGAGAUCUUCGUGGGCUGUACUCGACCUUGUCUCAGGAUGGACCUGAGCCGUAGGACCAUGCCUCAGGACUACCUGGCAUGAUGACUCCUUGCUGUCCCCAGUCCCCCUGGCCGUGCUGCUGCUCCAGUUUCAACUGUUCUGCCUGCGGCUAUGGAACCCUGUCCUGUUCACAGGACGUGCUACCUGUCCCAGACCUGCUGUUUUCAACUCUCUAGAGACAGCAGGAGCGGUAGAGAUACUCUCAAUGAUCGGCUAUGAAAAGCCAACUGACAUUUACUCCUGAGAUGCUGACCUGUUGCACCCUCUAC